AGAGACGAUUACAAAAAGGAUGCCUCCUUAAAGAUACGCCCUCCGGAGGGUGCCUCAUAUCUACACAUAUAAGAGACCCGUGUCAUAUGAAUGCUCCAUUUGGUGGUACGACAUACACCAGAACCGUGACCGAGAAUAUGAAAAAUAUCGGCUCAGUGGUGGGAGGUGUAGGUUUCACAAUUUCCAUUGCACAUGUGUGAAUGAGGAUCCACUCGGUCAGACAUUGUUUCGAGGUUAUUGAUGUCGUGCAUCGACAUCCAUGCAAUUUGGGUCGAUUACUGUGAAAUUACACCGGUGGGAAUGGUGCACAUGAACGCCGCUGGUACGUCGCGGAGGGGAGGCAGGUAAGUGAGAGUAGCGCUCAGAUCUGUAUGCGCCGACAGUAUAGACUGGGUGGUGUGGCGGUCCUUGGGAGGAAGGAUAGGAAGGACGAUAACUCAACACAUUCUCAUAAACGUUACUUGGUUGCACGAGUUAAAUAGCUUUGAUUGAGUUCAAAAAAAGAGAGCGGUAGCGCGCAUCUGACAAUAGCUGUGAAAUGUCACCAUAAUGAAUCUGACGCAACGUUUUGCCACCGUCAAAACGAGUUAUCUGUGAAGCGUGUACUGCAGCGGGAAUUUGCUUUCACGCUUCAAGCGCAAACUAUGUGAUCUCUCUCUCUCUCUUCUAACAUAAGUGUCGUCGUAGAGGAAGCAUAUAUUGGAAACAUUUAACUUCGUCUUCAUCUGUACAAAGUCCUCAUCAAUAAUCGGCUCGUGUUCGUUUUUGCAUCGGCGCCAUUUUUCCUUUUUGGAAUAAAGCGUCGUCCCUACAGUGGUAUUUCAAGUGUUGGAGGCGCUUUAAGAUCCCUUCGACGUCAAUCCACUUCAAUAUCUCGCCUGGAGCUACGUUCGGGAUGCCGCUUACGCCUAGAGGCCGCCAUGUCGCAAGACAAGACCGCAGCGUCCACCAUCUCGGUUCAAGUAUCAGCCACCCCCACUCCCAGCCCUGCCAACAACCGGUAUCGCUAUCCUGAAAUCUUCUCUGGCUUGCCUGGUGAGGACGUUGAAAACUGGCUCGACAACUAAGAUCGUGUCAACGAAUACAACUGGAACGAGACAUCUAGAUUAAAAAACGUACCAUUUUACGUCUCUCAAGUAGCCAAGACAUGGUUCCUGAAACCCGAGAGGGACUUCCGUGAUUGGUCGUAUUUCAGGGAGCAGCAACGGUGGAUUUUUGGCACACCCACGGUUCGUUCGGAAGUUGCGAAAAAGAGGCUGUCUGAGCGCGUCCAGCAAUAUGGCGAGUCGUAUACCUUGUAUAUUGAGGACAUCCUCGCGCUUUGCCGCCGUGUCGACAGUGCCAUGCCAAAAACUGACCGCGUGCGACACCUUCUUAAGGGUAUCGGACCUACUUACUGCCUUCAACGCACUGGCCGCUCAAAACCCUUCGACGGUGUCGGACGUCGUCUCCGUCUGUCAGCGCCUCGGCGCCCUGCAAUCAACCCGCUUGCAAUCGGAUUUUUCCGACAACCCCCUGGCAAACAGUAUUGAGCUCCGGUCUAUCAUUCGAGCCAUAAUUCGCGACGAAUUGCAAGCGCAUGGCUCACCCCCUUGCCACAGUGCUCACAUCCAACGUGCUUCUGCUGAGCUGCGCGGUAUCAUUAAGGAGGAAUUGGCCUCCUCGCAGAACGCCCACCAUACCAACGCUUCUCCUUGCCCACAACCGGCUUCUUACGCCCAGGUUGCGGCAAUGCCAGCCGUGCCGUCUCCAAUCACACCACAUUUCUUUAGCCUACGUAAAAUAAUGGACUUCGGACAAUAUAUGUAUAGUAUGAAACACGUCAAGCGGCACUGUACGCAACUACAGUACGAGGGUAGCCCGGCCUAAACAUCGUUGUCUGACGAUUCGUUAUCCCUGCUUUUUCGGCACAACAAACACGAUGAGAGAAGUUCGCUCAAUUUCAGCUUUCAAUUCCAAUAAAUAGAUCACUAUGUGCGUUUGUGUAUGUCGUAAACUCAAUCACUGACAGCAUUAAGUCCACCAGACCUGUACAAAAAUUGUGAGCAUACACUUUUUCAUUCAUCAUUGACAAUAAACAAUGUAACCUUA
rnacentral:lncRNA from 1 species